UGCGUAGGCGGAAUAUUAAGUCAGUGGUGAAAUCCUGCGGCUCAACCGUAGAACUACCAUUGAUACUGAUAUUCUUGAAUGUAGUUGAGGUAGGCGGAAUGUGUAAUGUAGCGGUGAAAUGCUUAGAUAUUACACAGAACACCGAUUGCGAAGGCAGCUUACUAAACUAUGAUUGACGCUGAGGCACGAAAGCGUGGGGAGCGAACAGGAUUAGAUACCCUGGUAGUCC
rnacentral:rRNA from 1 species